AGACCUCUAAUCGGAAAAGA
rnacentral:rRNA from 3 species